AAGUGUCACUGUGACUUAGACUAUUUGUGAUUCUUUGAAACGAGAUCUAUUUCAAACACAAUGGUCUGACAUCCCAGUCCGGCUGGAUAACAUGUGCUCCCAGCCCCCCACCCCUCCAUCAGAUGGCGUCUCCAAGUUUGAAUUCAGUUUCCUGGACUUGAAGGGGAAGGCGACGAACACCGUAGAGACGGGUCCUGUAAUAGGUGCUGCUGCAGGAUGCAGGGGAGGUACUGCUGAAGACACAGCAGGAAGCCCCCGUGCCCUUGGGGAAGGGAGAGACUGGGCCCCCCAGGACCGAGGAGGAGGGACUGAUUCUGUGUGGGCCCCGAAGGCAGAAGAGAAAUCCCCAGGUGGGAAUAGGGGAGGGAGGAGAGUAUCAGGCAGAGAGCGUCAUGACUCAAAGCUCGGAGGUGGGAAACCUGGAGGUGUUCAAAGAACAGCAGGUGUCAGGUGGAGCUGCAGAGCAAAGUCUGGACGGUCUGCUCAGGUGUCUGCAGAUAAAUUGCAUCCUCUCCAGGGUGCAACCACCAUGAUCUCAGCAGACUGAUGAUGGAAGAGAAGGAACCUGGGAGAUCCUGUGCUCCAGUUUCCCUGGACGAUGGAGGGAGGACAGCCCGUCCCUUCACCUCUGGUGCCCCUUGGGAACGUGUCGUCAGAUUCUAGCAUGUCUCUGGAGCAGAAAACCACGUUUGUUUUUGUGAUUUUGUUGUUUAUUUUCUUGGGCAUCCUCAUCGUGAGGUGCUUCCGGAUUCUUCUGGACCCGUAUCGGAGCAUGCCGACUUCGACCUGGGCCGACGGACUUGAAGGCCUGGAGAAAGGGCAGUUUGACCAUGCCCUUGCCUAGCGGGACAGGAGCAGGUGCUGCUUCUGAGGAGGAGAAGUGAUUCAUGUCUUCACGAGGGAUUCUCUUCCAUCAACAUUCUCAGCAACUCAAGUUUUAACCAUAUCUGGUUCUAGGACCACAAUCCAUUUAUUUGGUAGACAUUUAAGGAUAUUGGAAAUGGAGAUUUCUAUUACUAACUGAAAUAGGAAAGUUUGAAUUUCUAUAUUUACUCAAUGAAUGAAUGUUGUUGAAAGCAUGUGAUGGUGAAACCAAGAGCAUCAAUAGUGACUUUGCCUAAAAUGAAGCACUGUCAGACCUGACCAGAGUAUAAGGAUCAGAAAGGAUUUGAUCUGAAUCUGAUGACAGGACCAAGAAGAGGCUUCCUCACUCUAAUUCUGUCACCCAGUUUUGUUCUAUUUUCAUGGCAAUCUGGGUGCUGGGCAGAGAAUGAGGAAGAUUGUGCUGAGUGGCCUCAGCACAGGUACUUGUCUUCUCCUACAGCAGAGAGCACUGGGAGGCAAUGGGAGGGCUUCAAAGAGGGGGUUCUAUCCCUGGAAAGUAUGAGUGAGGAUGAUAUCACUUUAUUUUUCAAAUAAAACUGAUUUCAAAAGCUUACAAAGGUUUUAAAACUAUUUACCAGGCCAAGUGCAUUCUAGGUAUUCAUAUUAGUAACAUGUGUAGAGGUAGCUAUGCAUAAUGUUGAAUUUACUGUCUUUGCACAAUUGAUUGAAAUAAUAGGUUGCAAAUGCUGCUUCAAGUUGUUUUGUUCCAAAUAAAAAGUUAAUUGUUUAGAGAGGACUUUUACAGUCUUCAGAGGAAUGUGUGUAUAUGGCUGAAUACAGAAACUAAAUAAAACUGUUCAAGAUACAGAAGUGUCUCCUCUCUUAUUCCAGCACUCUGGAGGCAGUGUGUUGUACCUCUGUUCCGAGAAGGAGAAAAAGAGCAAAGACCAUGAAAAGUCAUCUAAUUCAUUCCUCUCCCCUUUCAGGAAGGGCUCCCACAAAUUGUCCUGACCCAUGAGACCUAUUUUGAGCACUGUUUUAAGUCCACCAAAAGAAGAGAUGUGAAAACCUCUUAUUCCAACUUCUGUAUUAAUAGGAACAAACUUGCACCUAAACUAAACUCCUCAAGUUGUAUUUAUAGUCUGUAUCAUCUAAUUUUCU
rnacentral:lncRNA from 1 species